UACGGGGGGGGGCAAGCGUUGUUCGGAAUUACUGGGCGUAAAGGGCGAGUAGGCGGCCUUCUAAGUCAGACGUGAAAUCCCCCGGCUUAACCUGGGAACUGCGUCUGAUACUGGGGGGCUAGAGUAUGGGAGAGGGAUGUAGAAUUCCAGGUGUAGCGGUGAAAUGCGUAGAUAUCUGGAGGAAUACCGGUGGCGAAGGCGGCAUCCUGGACCAUUACUGACGCUGAAUCGCGAAAGCUAGGGGAGCAAACGGG
rnacentral:rRNA from 1 species